rnacentral:rRNA from 1 species
GAGCGACUGUUUACUAAAAACACAGGUCCAUGCGAAGAAGCAAUUCGAUGUAUAUGGACUGACGCCUGCCCGGUGCUGGAACGUUAAGAGGACCCGUUAGCUCCCCUCGAGGGGGCGAAGCGGAGAAUUUAAGCGCCAGUAAACGGCGGUGGUAACUAUAACCAUCCUAAGGUAGCGAAAUUCCUUGUCGGGUAAGUUCCGACCUGCACGAAUGGCGCAACGACUCUCCGGCUGUCUCAACCACAGGCCCGGCGAAAUUGCACUACGAGUAAAGAUGCUCGUUACGCGCGGCAGGACGGAAAGACCCCGGGACCUUUACUACAGCUUGGUAUUGGUUUUCGGUUCGGCUUGUGUAGGAUAGGUGGGAGACUAGGAUAUCUCGACGCCAGUCGGGGUGGAGUCAUCGUUGAAAUACCACUCUGGUCGAAUGGAGAAUCUCAACCUCGGACCAUGAUCUGGUUCAGGGACAGUGCCUGGUGGGUAGUUUAACUGGGGCGGUUGCCUCCCAAAGAGUAACGGAGGCGCCCAAAGGUUCCCUCAGCCUGGUUGGAAAUCAGGUAUCGAGUGCAAGUGCACAAGGGAGCUUGACUGUGAGACCGACGGGUCGAGCAGGAGCGAAAGCUGGGACUAGUGAUCCGGCACCACCUGGUGGAAGGGGUGUCGCUCAACGGAUAAAAGGUACCCCGGGGAUAACAGGCUUAUCUUGCCCAAGAGUCCAUAUCGACGGCAUGGUUUGGCACCUCGAUGUCGGCUCGUCGCAUCCUGGGGCCGGAGUUGGUCCCAAGGGUUGGGCUGUUCGCCCAUUAAAGCGGCACGCGAGCUGGGUUUAGAACGUCGUGAGACAGUUCGGUCCCUAUCCGCCGCGCGCGCAGGAGACUUGAGGAAACCUGUCCCUAGUACGAGAGGACCGGGACGGACGAACCUCUGGUGUGCCAGUUGUCCCGCCAGGGGCACGGCUGGUUAGCUACGUUCGGAAGGGAUAACCGCUGAAGGCAUCUAAGCGGGAAGCCCGUUCCAAGAUGAGGUCUCCCACCCC